rnacentral:lncRNA from 1 species
UCCUCCCCUUUGACCUCAACAGCUUACAUAUCGGUUUCCCGACCUGCUGUUGCGUCGCUUGGCUUGCCAACUUCAAGCUCCUCUUAUUCGCCUUCGAUCAAGGCCCUUUGUCAGUACCUAAACAUGAUCUUCUUUGUUUCAUCCUCAUGGCUUGUUUCCCUUUCAAAAUCAAACAAAACCCAUCUCCAAAAAAACCAUUUGAAACCAAGACUAAUCCAAAUUUAGAGGCUGCAACUAGAGCUACAAUUGUAUCGACAGUGGUUUAUACUUAUAACAACUAUGAACACUACUUUAACAAACACGUUUUGUUCAUUUAUUUUUUCUACACUUACCAUGAAGUACGACUUCUCCUUGCCUUGGCUGCAACCCCAGCUCAACUCCUUCUUGGCGUUGAACUCGAGCCACAGUUCAACGCACCACUCUUUUCCACUUCACUACAAGAUUUUUGGGGCCAUAGGUGGAACCUUAGGGUCUCAGAGAUUCUACGUGCCACCGUAUAUAUUCCCGUACGUCGUAUUUCUACGCGUAUAACUGGACCUCUAUGGGGCCUCAUUGCCUGGUGUUUUUCUGACAUUUUUAGUCUCGGGUUUGAUUCACGAAUUGCUUGUUUAUCAUAUGACCCGUGAAAGACCGACAUGGGAAGUGACUUGGUUCUUCAUCUUGCAAGGAGUUUUCGUGGAUAUGGAGAUAGUAUUGAAGAAAAAAUUGGUGGCGACGAUCAAAUUUCGGCUUCACAGGGCAAUUUCAGGACCAUUGGCUUUGGCAAAUAUAGCAGUGGCUGCUGGCUGGCUGUCUUAUACACAAGCUCUGCGAAAAGGUAUAGAUGAAAAACUCAUCAAAGAGUUCAAUAUGUUCAUGCAGUUUCUCAAGGGCAUGGUUAUAAGCAAAUACUAAGUGAUUGCUUCACUAGUGAAGGCCAAAUGGCUUGUGAUAGCUAGAGUAAACAUAUGCAGCUCCUUCAAUAAUUCCUUGCUACUACUUUCAUAAUAUUUUAUUAUAUAUAUGUUUAGCUGCUAAUUAUUUUCAUUGAAAAAUCAUUAAGAUUUUUUUUUAUAAUUGGAGGAAGAGGAUUCAAAUCCUGCUCUUUUUUUUUUUUUUAAAUUUCCAUAGUAUUCAAUAGAAAUGGGAACUAAAGUUCAUCUUUUUAUAGAGAUUUUGCCAAGUACGCCCCGAACAAAAUAAAGGGGUAUACUUAUACAAAAUCGUUUCCAACACCCAGGUGAUCAAAAGCCACACCUGGAAAAAGACCCUGUACACCAGCCUUAAAUGAACAAAAAGAAAAACACAGCAUAACCCAAUCAUCAACACAGGGUUCUAAGGCUUAUAAGAAUUGAGAGACGUUCCCAUGUUAAGCUUUAAGGUCUUGAUGCACAAGGCUCUUUAAAUAAAGAAUGAUGUACCAAUCAAUAAGUAGAAUACUUAGAUGUAAAAACCAUUAAGAUUUAAAUUAAUAUUUGUGAUUAAUUCUCAUUUUAUAAUUAAUGGAUUUAUAUUAGCCCACCACAAAGUGCCACUUCAUUAAUGAAUAAAAAUAGAAGUCUUUAAGGUCUUGAAAAUAGAUAUGAAAAAAUUGUUUUGGGUAUACUCAAAUAAAAAAAUAUAAGCAUAAUAUCUAAAAAAGCCCUUAACUAUUUCAAAAAAUUCAAAUAAGUCUUUAUACUUUUAUUGUGUUCAAUUAAACCCUUAUAUGUUUUAUUUUGAGUCAAAUAAGUUUUUAUACUUUUAUUUUGAACCAAAUAAGCCUUUGUAUAUUUAUUUUAAGUCAAAUAAGCCCUUAUCACUAAUGAUUAACUUAGUUAAAAUAUUAUUUAUCAUUUUAUACCUUAUGAAGUUGAUGUGACAUGCUAAAAUUUCAUAAUUGAUAAUGAUAUGAUAUACUAAUAUAUCAUAACUGAUAAUGAAGUGGUAUGUUCAUUUGACAUAAUAACAUGACCAUAUAACAUUUUUCACCUUUUAUAUUAACGUCAUAUCAGUGUCACGUAAAUAUAAAAUAAUAAUAGCAUUUUGGCUAAUGACAAUUAGUCAAUUAUUAGUCAUAAGAGCUUAUUUGAUCUAAAAUAAAAAUAUACGAACUUGAUUGAAUCCAAUAAAAAAAAAGAGCUUAUUUAAAUUUUAUUGAAUAAUUUAAAAACUUAUUUGAGCAUUAAGCCAAAAAAUAAUAUUUUCACUUUCUUUCUAAACUCUCUUAAGAAUUUUUCUCAAAUCCCUCUCUUGUUCCUCAAGUACAGAGGCAUUCAAAUCAAAAUAAAACCUCUCUCUCUUUGAUCUAUUAUUAAGAACAUUUGCAAAAAAAUUAUUUUUUCUUUAUGGGUAAAAAAAUUCAAAAUUAUAAACUAACAAAAAAAUUUUAACCCAAACUUAAUAGGAAAAAAGUGAGCCAUAACUAGAUCUGUGAGCACGAAUUGAAGAUGGAAGAAAUUGCAAAGUUAAAUAUCCAUCACUUUUAUUAUACACUACUCCCACAUAGUAACUCUAACAUAGCUUUCCUCUCCAUUUCUCUUUCAACACGCUAAAAUAUUUUUUCCUAGAAAACAAAUUGUCUCCCAUAUUAAAUAAACUUGUUUCUGUUAUGAAUAAAUAUGUGAAUGUCUAUUAUAUUAUGACCCAAGAAUUGCAGACCAAGUCAAACAGCCUAAAAGGCAAGAUAUAAGAAAUGUAAUAUGAUUUAAACUCUUAGAUAGAAUUAGAUUAGGACUAUGAUUCAUAACACGUUAUCAGCACUAUCCUCUCUGAUCUCUCAAGAUUUGGAAUUAUUUUAUUUUCAUCAUCUUCAAGUUUUUAAAGGAUUUCAAUGGUUUGGUUUUGAUUUAUAAUUUUAGCAAAUCAGGUAAGUGUUGCUAUUAUUUUGUUUUCAUCAUUUCCAAGCUUUAAAAGAAUUUCAAUGGUUGAUCUUUAAUUUUUUUUAGUUGUAAUAAAUCUAUUAAGUGACUUGAUAUCUUUUUAAUAUUUUCAUUAUCUAAAAAUCAACUUUAAUAUGAAUUUUGCUAUCAUAUAGUAUAUAUUAUAUUCUGUCCCUUGAUUGGAAAGUGAAUUUGCUAUUAUAUAACUAUUAAUGAAAAAUCAUAAUAUUCAUUAUCUGAAGUGAAUGUGACAAACGAGCUACUAUUAAAAAAAAUUAUAAAUUUAUCCAUUCCCUAAAGUGAAUGCAACAUCAUUUAAUAAUUAUAGUCAUGGUCAUGAAUCUAUCUAUUCCCUAAAGUGAAUGCCACAUCAUUUAAUAAUUAUGAUCAUGAAUAUGGAAGAAGUCGUUAUAAUAAUUUACACUAUCACUAUUUUAAUUCUAAUUAUAAUUUUACCACCAUAAGUGGAUAAUAAUUUUACCAUCAGAAUCUAAGAAUAAUUUUACCACCAAAAGUGGAUGGAUAAUUUUACUAUUAGAAUCUAAAGAUAAUUUUGCCACCAGAAGUGGAUGGAUAAUUUACCACCAAAAGUAGAUGAAUGUCGUAACCUACUAAAAAAUGGAUAAUCCACUAGAAGUGGAUAACCCAUCAUAUGUGGAUCACUCACCAAAAGUGGAUGUAUACUUGUAACCUACCACAAGUAGAUGAAUACUUUCAACGCACCAAAAGUAGAUAGAUACUUUAAUCCACUAACCCACCAGAAGUGGAUAAAUAAUGAAAAGAAUAAAAGGAAUAUAAAAACAUAUUGUUGUUGAUGUGGCAUGAAAGAUCAUUGGUCACGUACCUGUUGUACGUUUUAAAUUUUAUUAAGCAUCACUAAAAAUUAAAACAUCUUGUAAUAAUUUUAAUUAUAGCCAAGUUAAUAUAGCACGUCAAGAUAUUUAUCUACCCUGAAAGAGGAAUUAAUUAUAUGAUUGGUAAUAAAAAUAUCCAUUGUUUGUUUUCUUGUCCUGAAAGAGGAAUUAAUCAUUUAAUUGAUAAUAGGAAUAUCUAAGAAUGAACUUAAUAGUAAUUGGUGUAUUUUAGUAUAACUAUAUUAUGAUGAUGUUUUAAUACGUUCUUAUUAUAUUUAAAUGAUAUGUUCUUAUUAUGUGUUUUAAUUAUAUAUUUAAUGUUAUUUCAUAUUAACUUGUAAAUUUUUUUAUUGUAUAUAUUUUUUUAUUGAAGAAAAUAUAAAUAUUCAUCUUGUUGGAUCUAAAAUCAAUAAUGUAAAUAUAUGUCUAGCAGACAUUGCUACAACACACAUUACAUUUAACGACAAUAAAUAUUUUUCCUACUUGAUAACAAAAAAAAAAUCAAUGUUAAUUCAAUAUUUGAUAGUACAAAAUUAAUUGAAGGCUCUAGAAAAGCUAAUAUUUUACUACCUUUAGGAAAAAAAUAAUAGAGGAUGUAUUAUUUUUUAAAGAUAUUUGUCUGAAUAGAUAUCAUAUUAAGACAAUGAAUGAAAGAGAUACUUAAUACCUCUAUAUUACAUCUAUUAUCUCAAUUAGAAAGUAUGUGUUGAAAAAAAAAAAUUACUCGUUCUGUUCUCUAAAUUAAACUAUACAAAUAUUAGAGUAAUUGAAAUCCAUAGUAAAUCAGAAGUUUACUAAUGAUUUUAAUAUUUGGCAUGACCGGUUGGACCAUCCCGGAUCAAUAAUGAUACAAAAAAAAUGAUUGAAAAUUUGUAUAAUCAUUUAUUGAAAAACUAGAAGAUUUUUCAAUCUAAUGAAUUUUAUGUGCUGCUUGCUCUGAAGGUAAAUAAAUUACAAGGCUAUCACUAGCUAUAGUUGGGAUUAAAUUUCCUAUGUUUUGAAUAAUAUUCAGGAUUAUAUGUGAAUUCAUACAUCCACUAUGUGAACCAUUUCGCUAUUUAUGGUUUUAAUCGAUACAUCGACUAGAUGGUCACAUGUAUGCUUAUUAUUAGCUUGCAAUUUGGCAUUUACAAUAAUUCAUUUGCAAGCACAUUUUUCUAGUUAAAUAAUCAAGAUUAUUUGUUUUGACAAUGUUGGUAGAUUUACAUCUCAAACCUUUAAUAUUGCAUAUUAGUUAGAAUAACUAUUGAACAGCCUGUUGCUUAUGUUUUUACAUAAAAUGGUCUAGCAAAAUUAUUUAUCAAACACUUCCAACUGAUUACAAGGCCAUUACUUAUGAAAUUCAAACUCCCAAUGACUGCUUGGGGGCAUGCCAUUUUGGAUGCAGCAACAUUAUAUGUAUAAGGCUAAAGGAGCUAUUAUAAAUUCUUCCUAUACAAUUGGUUCAUGGUUAGGAAUCAAAUAUUUUCUAUCUAAAAAUUUUUGGAUGUGCGGUACAUAUUUCAAUUGCUCCACCACGACGCACAAAGAUGAGUCCUCAAAAGAGGUUAGGAAUAUAUGUUGGAUACGAAUCUCCAUUUGUAAUUAAAUACUUAGAAUUAUUAAUAAGAUAUUUAUUCAUGACAAAGUUUGUCAAUUGUCAUAUUAAUGAAACAAUUUUUCCAACAUUAGAAAGAGAAAAAAUAAGCAGCUGCAAAAGAAAAUUUCUUAGAAUGAAUUAUCAUUAUCUAUUUUUGAUCCUCGUGCAAAUCAAUAUGAACUUGAAGUUCAAAAGAUAAUUAUUUUACAAAAUAUAGUAAAUUAGUUGCCAGAUGUAUUUACUGACUUAAAAGAAUAAGUAAAUCUUAUAUGCUAGCUGCAAAUGCUCCUAUCAACAUUACUGUCUUUGUAGGACAAGGCACGCCAGAAGUGUUGAGACCAAUCGGUUUCAAAGAUAAAUCCUCGAAAAAGAAAAGGAGCAAGUAUUUAAGAUGGUUAGAAAGAUGAAGUAGAAACUCUAGAAGAGACCCCUGACAUAAUUGAAAACAAUUUCAAAAGAAAUUCAAUUACUGAAAAUCAGUAAAAAUAAAGAGAUAUCAAUCAAUUAUGUCAUGAUGGGAAAAGAUGGAACAGGUAAAUAAACGUCGACAAUAUUUUGUAUAUAAUAUAGAGCUCAAUAUUAUGAAAGAAAAUGAGGAUCUUGAACCUACAUCUAUUGAAGAAUGUAGAUAUAGAAAUGAUUGGUCAAUGUGGAAAGACGUAAUUAAGGAGGAAAUGUAUUUAAUUGUAAAAUGUGAAGUUUUUGGACCUGUAGUCCCUACACCAAAUGGUGUAAAACCAGUGAAAUAUAUACAUGAGUAUUUGUGCGAAUAUGAAAUGACAAAAAUGAGAUAUAAAGCAUGACUUGUCGCAUAAGGUUUUCUCUAAAGAUCUAGUAAUGAAGAUGAAGAGAUAUUCUUUGUUGUGGAUACAAUUACAAUUCUAUAUUAACUAGUCUGUCAAUAAAUGAGAAAAUUAAAAUGCGUCUAAUAAGUGUAGCUACAUUCUAUUUAUAUGGCUCAUUUGAUAUUGAUAUCUAUAUGAAAAUCCCUGAAGGAUUUAAGUUGCUUGAAAUACAAAAAUUUGAAUUCUCAAGAAAUUUAUUCGAUCAAAUUAAAUAAAUCUUUAUAUAGAUUAUAGCAUUUCAAACACAUGUGGUAUAAUCCCUUUAGUGCAUAUUUGUUGAAAAAAAGCUAUAAAAAUAAUCCUAUAUACCUAUGUAUUUUAUAAAAAGGUUUAGAUAUAAAUUUAUUAUAAUUGUUGUUUAUGUUGAUGACUUGAACAUUAUUAGAACUCUUAAAGAGUUAUCAAAAGCCAUGGAUUACUUAAAAAGAGAAUUUGAGAUAAAAGACCUUGGAAAAAAUAAAAUUUUAUUUGGGUCUUUAGAUUGAACACUUGGAAAAUAAAAAUUUUGUCCAUCAAUCAAAUUAUAUCGCUAAAAUAUUAAAACAAUUUUAUAUGAAGAAAGCAUAUCCAUUGAGUUCACCAAUGUUUGUGAGGUCACUAAAAAUAAAAAAAGGACUGUUUCUAACCUCGUGCGGAUAAUGAAGAACUUCUUGGUCCUUAAAUACCAUAUCUUAGUACAAUUCGAGCACUAAUGUAUCUUACUAGCAAUACAUGACUUAAUAUAUCAAUUGGUAUGAAUUUAUUAGUAAGAUAUAGUUCUUCUCCAACUCGAAGAUAUUGGAAUUGAAUUAAACGUAUACUUCGAUAUCUCCGAGGAGCAAUGAAUAUAGGCUUAUAUUAUUCAAAUGCAUCAAAAAAAAUUUAAUUAGUUAUGCAGAUACAGGAAAUUUAUCAAAUCCACACAAAGUUUGAUCUCAAACAAGUUACUUAUUCACAUAUGGAGGUACGACUAUUUCAUGACAUUUUGUAACGUAAUAUAGUUGCUACUUAUUCUAACCAUGUAGAAAUGAUAGCAACUCAUGAGCAAGUUGUGAAUAAAUUUGGUUAAGAUCUGUAACUCAACAUAUUCAAGAAACGUAUGGCUUGUCAACCAAGAAGAAAAUUUCAACAACGUUAUAUAAGGAUAAUCCUGCUUGCAUGGCACAGUUAAAUGAAAGAUAUAUUAAAGGUGAUCAAACAAAACACACAGUUUGCCAAAAUUCUUCUUCACUCAUGAUCUCCAAGAAAAUGGUGAAAUUAGUGUUUAACAAAUUUAGUCAAGUGACAAUUUAGUAGAUUUGUUUACCAAAGCCAUUCUUAUUGCAAUAUUUGAAAAGAUUGAAAUGCAUCAUUUUAAAGAUUUUUAUAAUGCAGUGAUUAGGAGAGUAAAAUACGCACUGUACUCUCUUAUUUCAUCAAGGUUUUUCCCAUUGAGUUUUUCUUGAUAAGGUUUUUAAUGAUGCAGUAUUUUAAUAGCGUAUUCUUAAAAAGAUUAUAUACUCUUUUUCCUUCACUAAAAUUUUUUCCCAUGAGGUUUUUUCCUAAUGAGGUUUUAAAGAAGCAUAUUCUUAUAACAAUGGACAUUCAAGGGGAGUAUUAUGAAUAAAUAUGUAAAUGUCCAUUAUAUUAUGACCUAAGAAGUGGAGACCAAGUCAAACAGCCUAAAAGGUAAGAUACAAGAAAUGUAAUAUGAUUUAAACUCUUAGAUAGAAUUAGAUUAGGACUAUGAUUCCAUGGGUUGUUAGCCUAUAAAUAGAUCCAUUCACUUCAUUUGUAAAGACACACUUCAAUAAGAUCUCUUUUAUCCCCUUAAAUACUUUCUUUCUUCUCUUUAAUUAUUCUUUCAAGUUAUCUUUAUUUGUUUUUUUAAGAUUUAUUUCAUAACAGUUUCUUUUUUUUAUAAUAUUUGUAAAAAUUUGAGUAAAUAUUAUAACUUAUAUAUCUCUCCUUUUCUCUCUCCCGGAGAGAAAUCUUUAUUCCAUCCAAAACCCCUGACACUCUCGCCUUCUCUUCCAAAUUCCCAUUGGUUUCUCAUUCAAUUUCUCUUCCUUAGUUUCUUAUGUUCUUCUCUUUCGAUUUCUCUUUUUGUUUUCUUGAAAAGGAAAAAAGAAAAGAAAUAUAAAGAAAAUAGUAAAAGAAUUAUAUUUGUUUUCAAGAACAUAAAGAGUUUUAUUCUAUUCAUAAAUGAUAUGAUGCUUUGUGGUCAACUAACAAUGUAUAAAAACUAUACAUUGUAAAUACAUCAAAUAUAAACCCUAUUAAUCAUUAGUUAUUGACUUCUAGCUAUCAACAAGGACAUACGUGAGCCUAUUAGAUUGGGAAAAGCACACAUAAAAGGAUCAGUCCGCGAUGGGCCUACACCAGAUUGCUGUGGAAUGGAUGUGUCCCAUUUAUUGAUUCAGUUCAAACUCCCAAAUAAAAUAGUCUUUAACCCAAGACCAACUUUGAAUUUUCACCAGAAACUAUAGGCAAAUCUGUUAUACCUAAUACCCAAGAAGCCAGCCAUAAGACCAUAUAAUUCCUAUUUCUAGUUCAUGUUAAGAGGAGACAAUUAUCACUUAGACAACUUUUUAAUAUGUAAAAAUUGAGGCCAUCAGUUUCAAACUUAAAGAAUGAAUAAUUGAUUGUACCACAUCUAUUUAACAGAAUAUUCCAAUUGGUCAUCUAAAUGUCUUUUAUAACAUAUGUUAUGAUCAAACCUCUUCACCAAUAUUUCCAUCUCAUCGUUUACAAUCUGUUCUUUAGCCUACCAGUAUAUUUGAUUUGACAUAGUAGUAUUUAAUUUUUUUUCCUUAGGCGAAGUUUUAAGUUUAAACCAAAGGCUAAAGAUAUCCCCACCGUAACAUUGGGUUUGCAAUCUCAAUGACAAAAGGGCAACAUAAAGACCUAGGCAGAAUUAUCGAACCAAACCACAUAUUACUUUGUCUUAAUUACUUCUUCACUCCCAACUCCCAAGAUUGCAUUCUUAAAUUGUAUCGUUUCAUUAUUUAUAUUUAUUUAGACGUAUGUUUAAUAUAGCACAAGCUUAUCCUCAAUCUUCAUUAAAAUGUUAUGUCUUUACGUUGGAAGAACCCAAAGCACAAUGUCGUUAGUGCGGUUCUUCCAUGAUUAAGAAUCAUCCUGCAGGGUAAAUUUUCUGAUUCUCUACACCUCAGCAAUCAGCACCCUUGCAUUAAAACAUCGUUAAUGCUAUCUAAGGCUGCAGAACACUGCUGGAUGGCUAGCUAAAUCUGGGGUCAAUAUCGUUCUCAAUAUUGGAUGGCUUGCUUAGCCAACAGCGGCCUGCUUUAGUAUGGAUUCUUUUUCUUGUGUGUGUCAAAUUGCAUCAUCAAUGCUCACGUUUUUGGAUUCCCAGUUUGUCAAGACUUUUAAGUUAGGGUAAAAACACAUAAAUAAUAUUGUUAAUCUUUUAGCUUGUCCAGAAAAGACAAAGGGCUCUACUUGAAUUGGUCAGAAAAGAUAAAGAUCCCGAUUUGGCCUUGGCUUAGCUUGGUAUGUGAUUCAUUCUGAUAAAUAGAUUGGAUAGACUGAGCCCUGCUUCAAAGUCAAAGAAAAUAGGAUUCAUGAUUAGUAUAUGUCUCAAGCAAUGAAGAAAAGAGUCUUGUAAAAGUCCCUAACUCACACUGAUAUAUACAAAAGAUUGGCUAUUCCAACAAAGAGUCUAGCCUUCUUACCUAAUUUCUGUGGAGGCAAUCCCAUAGAGUUGCUAGUUAGGGAUGAUAAUGGCUGCAGUUGGACGUUUGUUUGCUCCCUCCUAAAAACUGGUUAUGCAAAACCAAUUAUACAAAAUGGCUGGUGAGACUUUGUUCUUGCUAAAGGUCUCAAUGUUGGUGAUAAAGUCACGUAUUAUCAACAGGAAACUGACAAUGGGAUUGAGGUAUUUGGUACUGUUUUUCCUCGUUCAUGCUAUAGUAGUUGAGAGAGCUAUCAAGCCCUCUCGGUCUUAGGGUUGUCAACAGGUAAGGUACCCUAUAAUUUCGAGAUACCUGAACCCUAAUCCUAUAAAAAAAUUAACUACCCUAACCCUAUUAAUUAUCCUAAUAAUUUUAAAAAUUACUACCCUAACCCUAACGCUAUUAUAUUUUUACUACCCUAUAAUUACCCUAACCCAUUUAAAAACUCGAUUAGAUUAAAAAAUUAUUAAAAUUUUCUUCAUUGGUUUUCCAAUUACCCGAACCCAAAUACAUAAUUUAUACAAUAAUAAUUAUAUUCUUUAUAAAUGAACAUAAUAUAUAAUAUAAAGUGUGUGUGUUAAAAGACAUUACAAGUUAUAUACUAUAAAGUGUGUAUAUAUAUUACAAUUAAUAAUUUUAUAAGUUAUAAUUUUAUAAUGAUAACACAAAAUAAAAAAUAAAUAAAUUUAUAUGUUCUCAAAGUAGCUAGUAAGAAUUCUGACAUAAAAUAUUUAAAAUAUUAAUAUUAAAAAAUAACAUUUAUUAAAUUUUAAUGUAAAUGAUGAAAAUAAGAAUAAAAUAACUAAUAGUUUAAAUUAUUAUUUUUAAAAUCUUGACAUAAAUACAUAAAAUUAAAGGUAAAAUGUUAUAUAAGAUAAACUUAAAUGAAAAAAAAUCAAUAUUAGUUCUUUCUAAAAAAUUUUUGAAGAAAUUUGUAUAUUCUCAAGCUAACUAGUAAGAAUUCUUAAUAUUUCUUACAUAAAAUACAGGCCUUUCUAAAAGUUUGUAAACUGUACAGUUGCAAUGAAAUACAUGCCUUUCAAAAAAAAAAAAAAACUAGUAAGAAUUUUUAAUAAUUCUUACAUAUAAUAUUUAAAAUAUUAAUGUUAAAAAAUUAAUUAUUAACUUUAUUAAUUUUAAAAUAAUUACAAUUUUAAGGUGACACAAAUUAUCAAAAUUGCUUGAAUGGGUUCUAAAGUUAAAUUCUUCAUAUUAAAAACUCUCAUGCAUUUUACCUUUGAAAUGUCAUGUUUUAGGUUCAGAGUGAAGUAUAAAACAUAGCUUGAUCCUUGUUGCCUUGUAGGGAUGGAUCCCUAUGAAAUCGGUCCCCCCUUCAUGGGGAUCAAUCCCCCAUUCAUAAUAUUUGAAUUUUGUAGCCAGGGAUCGAUCCCAAGUUCCAAAAACUAGCCGUUAGGCCCUUUUUGGAGGGAAAAAACAACUCUUUUCUACACCAAAGUGUAGAAAGAAGUUCUCUAACACAUUUUUAAGUUAAGAAAAGUGGAACCAAGUUAGAGCAAGUAAUCUACAUUCUUUCACCAAGCUUUUAAGUUCUCUUUGUACUUAAUUUUUUUGUGCCUUCGUUCUUAUCUUUUGUAAUCUUCUUAUUAUCAUUCAAACUCUUACAAACUUGUACUUAGCAAAACCCACCUUGUAAAGGUAUCCUUGCUUUUCACCUUGUAAAAGAGGAGAAGUUGUGCUUGAUUCUUGAAAACCAUUUAGGUUCUAACUUAACCUUAAAAUAUUAGGGAGAUUGUGUCAUAUCCUUGAAAAGGUAUAGAGAUUUUAAUUUAGCCUUUAAAAGUUAGGGGGAGUUGUGUCAUAUCCUUGAAAAGACAAAAUUUAUGCUUGAACCUUGUAAAAGCAUUGUAUUUAUUGAUUAUCAAUAGUGGAUUAAACACUUUAGAUUGCUAAGGGAGAGAACAUAGGCUAAAAGGAUAUAAAAAAAAAGAAAUCAUAAUAGACAAAUAAAAAACUUUAUUUUUUAUUUUUGUAAAAGAUAUAAACUAAAUUCAUGUUUUCUCAAAUUAGCUAUAAAAAAUCUUACAGCNNNNNNNNNNNNNNNNNNNNNNNNNNNNNNNNNNNNNNNNNNNNNNNNNNNNNNNNNNNNNNNNNNNNNNNNNNNNNNNNNNNNNNNNNNNNNNNNNNNNNNNNNNNNNNNNNNNNNNNNNNNNNNNNNNNNNNNNNNNNCAUAUAUAUACAUGUAUAUAUAUUUAAAAACAUUCCAAGUUAAUUAAUGAUCAUAGUUUAAUGAAUUAAUUUAAUUAACUAUAUGGAUUUGUCUUUAAUUACAUGAAAUUAAAAAAAAUAGUUAGAUUCAAAACUAUUCUAAACUCAAAGACUCUCUUUAAUUAUAUAUAUUAUAAGUUAUAAUUUUUGUAAUCUUAACAACAAAAAAAAAGUAAAUACAUUUUUAUUAAAAAUGUAUAUAAUAGUAAUUAUAUUCCUUUGUAAUAUAAUAUGAUAUUUAUAUUAUUUAAACAUAAUUAAUAAUCUAAUAUUUUUUUUAUUUAUAUAUAUUAAUGUCAUCACAUUAAUAAUUUAACUAACUAUAUUUUUAAUAUAUUUGUUAACAUUUCACAAAGAAAUUGUUUAUCAAGAUGGUACAGACUUUGGGUGCUUUCCUUUCUUACUUGGAUUGGAAUGAAAUCAAUAACAAAGUGAAUCAAUUUUAUUCAGUUAUUUAAAUAAUAAAAAAUAUAUAUACACGGGUAUUAUAAUCGGGUUUGGAGCGGGUACCUGUGAAACCCAAAUAUUACAUAACCGGGUUCGGGUAACGGGUACCCAAAAAGUGAUACCCAAACUCAACCUAAACCCAAUUCGGGUAGUGAAAUCACUACCUGAAUCCGUUUAUUAAGUACCCUAACUUAGUAUAACCGGAUCAAAUACCCUAUAAUAAGAUACCCGUUGAAAUCCCUACCCGAUCUACAGCUGGUGUUGAUCACAAUUUAGCCAUGAAAUGACUGCAGCUGCUGGGGGUUGAUGAUGUCGAACCUGUCAAUCUCUGACAUAUGCGUUGGUGAAGCUGGUGGCUGAUAAAGUAGAGAUAGAGAAUUGAGAUGAAAAAGGGUUCUGACAGGUACUUGGGGAUAAACUUUUGGUUGUUCUAUUGUUAAUGUUUAUGCUACCUGUGGAGAGGAGGAGAAGAAAAUUUUGUGGCUUUUUUAUGGUAAGGCCUCUUUAUUAUUAGUAUUGGAAAAAGGGCGGUGGGCUUUGAAAGGCAGCAAGAAGUGGAUUGUACGAAAUUUAAAGUCAACUGCAUGGAAUUAUAUUUAAAUUAAGGUUAUCCAAAUUGCAUGAGAGUUUGAUAAAUGGAUAGCAUUUCAUGAUGUUUAUUGUGCUGGUUGGUGAGAGAAGCUUGGAGGAAGUUAAUGUUAUUAUGGUAUAGUAAAUGCAUAUUGCCAUGGUUAAUAUAAGGUGGGGAUUAGACGCUACUUUAAGAGGAUGUAAUGACAGUUUUGAGGUUGCCUUUUAAUUGUAUGGUCUAUGAUGAAAUGCCUUGGUGGGGGUCAAGUGUUGUGAUGGAAACACUUAUAAGAAAGAGAUACAGCUGAAGUAAAGGGAGGUUUUGUCCGCAGUUUUGGUGCGAUGAACACAUGUUAGGCAUGACUGUAUGAGCGGUGACAAUUCUGUCUUACAUAUAUGUGGGGUUACUCAAGUAAAUGAAUGCUGUAUUGAGAAGAUUGGUGGUUUAAUGUAUGUUGUUAUGUAAUGUUUGUAUUCGGGGAAAUACAUGCAUGGGGUGAGAGUUGGGUGAUGGUGGGGUCAAUUGUGCGAAUUUCCAGAGCUACAAUCUAUUUGAUACAUCAAUAAAGACAUUGACUUAACAAAAAAAUAAAGAAGCUAGAGAUCAUAAAACAAACCCCUCAUCCCACUUAAAAAAGAGAAAGAAAGAAGAUAGCUCCUAUAUACCUCAUCUCCAUGAUCUUUCUUCUCUUUCUAAAAUUUUCUCAAAGUACAAACACUUUAAUUUUUUCUUACAUCUUCCUUCCAAGUUUUAAUAUGUCAAAGACUUUGAGAUUAGAAAAGGAAAAGAAACCAAGAGUUGGCUAUCACUAAAUUAUUUGAUUCAAUGUUAAUUUUAAUAUUUCUAAGCUUUUCAAGUUGCUCUUUACCACGUGUCAAGGUGUUAAUGAGGGAGACAUGAUCGGACAACGAAGAAUAGAGACAGUUUUGGAGGGUAGUGAUUUAACCCUAAGGCUGCAGGUUUUUGAUUUUUGAGUUGUACAAAGGUAAGUAGGAAUGCAACGAUAGGUUUAUUGAGUUGGCGGUGUUGUUGAGACGUCGGGAACGACAGGGAAUGUUUUUUCUUGUUUUUGCUGUUAGGCAAUUAAAGUCUGAUUUUUUUUUUUUAAAGUGGGGUCAGGAGCAAUUAGGAUGGCUUUUGUGGUCAUUAUCAAUUAAUUAAUAGAUCAUUAAUAGACUCAAAUGGCAUUAAAACUUCAUGCACAGAUAAAAAAUAUAUUAUUCAAAUAAAUUAGAUCGAAUGCCUUAGAAAAUGAGUUUGCUGACCAAAGUCUAGGAAUUGGAAACUCGAACAAUAUCGCGCGUAGGAAUUGGAAAAUCGAACGACCUAUGCCAAACUUUUCCUUCGAGUUUCAUUUACUUUUCCUUAAGACUCAUACACCAAUUAGAUUCCCGCCUUUAAAAAACAAUAUUACUUAUAAAUGAAACUUUGAUUUUGGCUUCUUUGCAUGCAUGUAGUUUUCCCAUGGAGCUGAGUGGAUUCUCUGAAUCAGAAGGUAACGAAGUGAAGACGAAGGAGAUGUUUUCAAAGCGCCUGACUAGGACUGAUAUGUCAAAAAGAUUGGCCCUUCCAACAAAGAGACUUUCCUUGUUCCCACCUUUGGAUGGAGGCAAUGAGAUUGAGUUGGUGAUUUGGGAUGAUGAUAAUGUGAAUGCGCAAGUGUGGAAGUUUGUUUGCUCCAUCCGCUAGACAGGCUACCCAACCAGUAUUUUCUAGGGGUCGACUAGAUUUUGUCGUAGCUAAAGGUCUGACUGUUGGUGACAAAGUGACGCUUUGUAAGAAGGAAGACACAGCAGAGCUAUUUGGUCGUGUUCUCUGUCAGUCACGUUAUAGCGUUAAGGCGGACAGAACAGCCGAAGCAUCGAUUGUGACUGGGACUAGAGCUGCUGCCGGCGCUUCUGAGACUACCCUGGAACACAAGAACGUGUUACGACCGAGUGAAGAUAUUAGCACAGUUGAUGCUGGAGUUGGUGAAAUUGCGGCAGUUAAUUCAAUCUAGCUUGCCUGUUGACAGCAGUCGAAUCCUCUACCCUCAUUUUUGAGCCCAUUCCUUGUCCUAAAUCCUCUGUUUUUUCUGGACUGGUUAAUACAUGUAUUAAUCCGUGACCAAAAAAAAAAAAAAGACACGUGGUAAUUAAUUUGUGAGAGUUAAAAAUGAAAAAUGGAGCAGAGGCUAUGAAUUGUUUGGGAAAUCAACCCUUGAUUUAAGUAUUUCAGUCCGAUGAGAUUAAUGUUGUUUCUUUUCACAUGUUCGUGAUUUCUGUCCUAGCUUCUUGUCUCAAAUCUUUUUUCUUCUUUUUCUUUUUACUAUUGGUUAAUACAUGUAGAUUUGACAAUUUAUGUUUUCUCGAGUGUUAAAUAUGUAAGAUACGAUUAGAUACAAAACACAUUAGGGUUAAACACGAAUACGACACGAAUAAUGUUCGUGUCUUAAAUCUAAAAUACAUAUACGUAUACGUUUAUUAAUUAUAUAACAUGACACGAUACGAUACACACGUUUAUUAAAUAUGUCAAUAUACGAUACAAUACAAUUAAUAACACAUUUAACAAAAUUAAAUAAAAAUAUUUACAAUUAAAUAUAAAUUUAUUAUUUUUUUAAAUUAAUAAUUAUAAAAAUAAUUAUAAUAAAAUAAAAUAAUAAUAACAUCAAAUAUAACAAAACAAAAAGUUCAAAAUUAAGAUUUAAGCAUGAUGUAGUUAUAUUAUUAUUGUUAUAAAAUUUAACAAACUUAUUAAAAUAAUUAUUUAAAAUUAUUUAAAUAAAAUUAAAAUAGCCUCUAACACAGAAGAAAAACAGAAUUGUAAAAGAACUAAAACCAACAGACUGCUUCCAUGGCCACCUAAGCAAGCAUUGUUUCACCACUAACGCGAAUUCAGUUUCAUAUUCGAGAUCAAAGAGUAAAACCUGACUUAAAGCCGUAGUAGGAUUCAUUCCAGAGAAUAUCAGAAUGACAAAACCAACAUCACGCAAAGCAGGAGAGCAAAAGAGCUCCAUGGCAGAAACCUCAAAAGCCAAAUGGCAGCAGGAACCAACAAUAGAAAACAUAUUAUUGCAGCCCCAAAAACAAGGAAUCAUGACCCAGAAAGAAAGCACACUAGCUACCGACUCAAGAAAAGAGCUUAAAAGCUCAAUCCUCACGUUCUAACUCAACCAAUUUAUUGAUUACCUCUUCUUCAUUGUCUUCAAAAGAUAAGCCCAAUAAUGUACCGUGGGUUUUUUUUUUUUGUAUGUAAAAAUUAUUAAUUACUUGGAAACAUAUAUACAAUACUAAUUUUUGUUUCAUAUAUAUCUUCUUCUAUAGAUUCGAUCAAUUAUAAUAUUUAUAAAUUUUUUACACUUAUGGUUAGGUAAUUGAGAGGAGAAAAGAGAGACAUAUUUAGUACAUAUGGAAAGGAGAUCAGAGAAAAGAGAGACAAAAAAGAAGAAAUUGUGAGUACACCACUUGGUGAUACAAGAUCUGCUUUCAACAAAAAUGCACGUGGAUAGGUAAGUGAGAGGAGGAUUCCGCUACAAUCAACAGCUUCUAGAAAGGGGGCUCCAAUCUUUCUUCCAGCCGACCAAACGCUGCUUAUAAAUACACACAAAUCAAGGGAGAAAUUCAGCACGUAAGGAUAUUACAAACUUGGACGCAAUUGGUUCUAUGGCUUCGAAAAAAAAGAAGGCCUUCCAUGGAUCAAAAGCCAAGUAGAAACAAGCAAAGAAGAGAAGGGUUUUGUUCUCAAAGAGGGUCAGUCGCACUGAUGCCUUGAAAAGGUUAGCUAUCCUAACAAAGUGCCUUGCAUUUCUCCCACGGUUUUGCGGAGGCCAUGCCCUGGAAUUGCCUGUUAGGAAUGAGAAUGGCCAUUGCUGGACUUUCGUUUGCUCCAUUCGGAAGACGGGCGCUUAUCAGAAACCGGUGCUUCAACAAGGCUGGCGAGAAUUUGUUCUAGCUAAAUGUCUCCAUGUUGGUGAUAGGGUAACGUUCUAUGAACAAUAAUCUGAAGAUGGAAUCAAGAUAUUUGGGUCCAUUUUACCACGUUCUCGAUAUGGUGUUGGGAUUCAGAAAACAAUGAGGCCCCCUUACGGCUAGACCUUGCUAAUGCUCCAAUAAGUGGCACUCAUCAAACAGUCUUCGUUUAGCAUGCUACACCAUUGAACCAUGGGUUAAUGUACCAAGCUCCUGUACAAGGCUUUAAACAUUUUCCCACUUGAAAAUCACUUAUUCUCUAUCGUUUUUUUAUUAAUAUUUUAUAUUUAAAUGGAAUUAGUCUUAAAUUUACCCUCACUAUUCUGUGUGUCGAGUACUUGACUUUGUUGAGUAGUAGACUGUGAUAUAUAAAUGUGAAAGUGAAAUGCAAAUGUCACUUAGCUUUAACUAGUAAAACAUAUUAGUAAUUAUACGACAACUUCGUAACUGAUUUCAAAUUGUCUUUUACACAAAAUUCAACAAUUUAUGUAUAUGAAAAGGAAAGGAUACCCCAUGUCUGUUGGCAAAUAACUCCAACAUAAGAGAAUAACUUCAAAAUUUGACAAUAAUCAUGUGCCUUUGCUGCAUCCUUUCUCUUUUCUCAUUUUUUUUUCCAAGAUUUCCUAAUUACUCAAAUCCAUAUUUUGGUGACCAAUUGAUAAAGUAUUAUACCUUUUCAAAUGUGUUAUAUUAAGUGUAUACAUGUGCGUGUGUAAAUAGUUCAUUUAUGAACUAAUUGAUAAGCAGUCUGUCAUUCAACACAUCUGUACUUGUUGAUUCUUUCCCUAAUUAAAGAGGUAAGAGGGCUUAAUGUAAUUUAGUUUUACCGUAACAUAUUGGUAAAACAAUAAACAGAAUCAAGUAAUUUGCAUAGGUGCAAGUCAUCAUUCAAUAGAACAGACACACAUGACUAACCUUCCUGUGGAUGAGCUUGAAUUUUAUCUCUUACAGGAAAAAGUUGCUUUUAUCUAGUUGGUGGUACCAUGAUCUUAAUUUUAUAUAUAUAUAUAUAUAUAUAUAUAUAUAUGUAUAGUUGAAUGCCAUAAUGCCACGUGGAAAAUGAUAAAGCAUUUUCCUUUUCUUGGAAUCUUCUCUUGGUCUCCCAUCAAUGCCAUGAUGACCCCUGGAAAGUGAUAGUACUAACCAACUCCCUCAUUUUUGUCCUCUAAUGUUACCAUUUUCAAGCUUCUUAAUUUUACCCUUGACGAAUAAGCACAAAGGACAUGGAAACAGUAGGAUGGCGGCUAAUGCCAUUGGCUUGCUUUGCUAGCUUCGAUGUUUACCCUUCUUUGUGUUAACCCAUAAUUCUAACGGUUGGGGCUUCUGUGAAGAUUGCAGCAAUAACAGACACUACAAUAAUUAACGCAUUACGGUUGUCGAAACUUUGAUUUUUUUCUCAAAAAUUCAUAAUUGCUCUCAAAAUCCUUAUUUCUAAAUUUCAAUGUAAUAUUGUAUAUUAUUUGAAAUUUAGAUGUCUAGGGAAGAUAUCACAACCAGUCUGAGGAAGAUUUUAGGCCUGUACGUUUCAAUGUGAAACCUAUUUGCAUGAAAUUCUCUCUCCCGAGUAUACAAAAGAUGAUCAAAGCAGAGAUGGAACUAGUUAAUUUUUAUUUGGAGAUCAAAGAUGAAAAAACGUAAAAGCUAAAAAUUUUUAAAACUAAUAUAUUGAAUUUAACUACAAAUCGAAAAUUUUAUAAUAAAUAAUAAUUUAUAUAACAUAUAAAUUAAAAGGAAAGUUAUGCUCAAUUAUUUUUUUUUGGAUUCAAAUUAAUCAAUUAUUAACUUUAUAUUGAAAAGGUUAGCAAUGUCUUUCUCAAUACAAAUAACUAAAUUAUCUAUAAGAAACUCAUUAUCCAUUUUGUUUCAAAGUCUUGUUUUCACAAUUUUUAUUAUUGAAAAGGCUCUCUCUGUUGUUGCCGUUGUUGUACAAACUGGAAGAGUUAGAACAAAUCGAAUUAAUCUAUCAAUCAAGAUUAAUAAAAAAAAUUAUACAUAGAUGAAAUUUUAAGUAAUAACCAACAGUAAAACACUACAACUUAUAUUUGAUAGUUACAUAAUAAUAUUUUAAUUUUUAAAUACUAAAAUCAUAUAAAAUAAAAUUCAAAUAAUAAAAAAAAUAAGAACACAACAAGAAAAAAAUGUCCAACUUAUUGAACUAAUUCUCUGUACUUCCCAACCUACCUCUCAUUAAUUCUUUGCCCUCAAUUCUUCCUUUCUUUCACUAGGAGAACUUCCUUUAUUAAUCUCUUCCAAGGACAAAAUCAUAAUUGCAGCUUCACAUGCACACCUCGCAUGUGUAGCCACAUGUUUGUUUUCAUUUUUGUUGUUCAUGUCUUCAAUUUCGAUAUUUUUAAUUUGUUAUAACGUUUAUGGUAAGGUAAAACCUUGUUUAUAAUUUGCACCAACCAUUCGGGGUGAGUAUGGGAGUGAUAAACGUUAAGCAUCAUUGGUCAAUCGUUGUAACUAUAAUUGGAUCAUUCAACUUGAAAACCAUAUUUUUUGGUUCAGGAUAAAUUUCUGAUAUACUUCACAUCUUACUAAAAAUCAUUAAAUUACAAAUUAUUCAUGAAAUUAUAAAUUAUUUUAAAAAUAAAUUUAAAUUUAUCGAUUCGAAUGAAUAGAAAAUAACUUUGGACCAUUGAUUAUUCCUAAUAACAAUUAUAUAUAAAGAUAAAUUUAAAAUAAGAUCACCUAAUCAAAAUAUAAGAUCAACGUUCGUGUUCAAUGGUACAUUUGUUGUCAUAUUAUAAGUACAAACGAAGCAUAUAGGGUGGAGAAGAGCGCAAUGUGUGAAGCCAAAGAAAUGGAGGGUGAGCUCAAGAACUUCAUCAGGUUAUGUGUUUUGACCAUAGCAUUUCUUCUCCAUAGUUACUUCAUUGCAGCAAAGAUCCCAAAGGGUUUGCCAAGGCUCAUCUCCCUCCUCCCUGUCAUCACCUUCCUAUCUAUCCUCCCCUUUGACCUCAACAGCUUACAUAUCGGUUUCCCGACCUGGUUUUGCGUCGCUUGGCUUGCCAACUUCAAGCUCCUCUUAUUCGCCUUCGAUCAAGGCCCUUUGUCAGUACCUAAACAUGAUCUUCUUUGUUUCAUCCUCAUGGCUUGUUUCCCUUUCAAAAUCAGACAAAACCCAUCUCCAAAAAAACCACUUGAAACCAAG